AUUGAACGCUGGCGGCAUGCCUUACACAUGCAAGUCGAACGGCAGCACGGGUGCUUGCCCCUGGUGGCGAGUGGCAAACGGGUGAGUAAUACAUCGGAACAUGUCCUGUAGUGGGGGAUAGCCCGGCGAAAGCCGGAUUAAUACCGCAUACGAUCUACGGAUGAAAGCGGGGGACCUUCGGGCCUCGCGCUAUAGGGUUGGCCGAUGGCUGAUUAGCUAGUUGGUGGGGUAAAGGCCUACCAAGGCGACGAUCAGUAGCUGGUCUGAGAGGACGACCAGCCACACUGGGACUGAGACACGGCCCAGACUCCUACGGGAGGCAGCAGUGGGGAAUUUUGGACAAUGGGCGAAAGCCUGAUCCAGCAAUGCCGCGUGUGUGAAGAAGGCCUUCGGGUUGUAAAGCACUUUUGUCCGGAAAGAAAUCCUUGGCCCUAAUACGGUCGGGGGAUGACGGUACCGGAAGAAUAAGCACCGGCUAACUACGUG
rnacentral:rRNA from 1 species